rnacentral:sRNA from 1 species
UUCUGUGUAUGAUACAAUUAAUUUAACUUAAUAGUCUUUUUUUAUUUAAAUUUGAACCACUGUGGUAGUGUUGAACUCGAACAUUGAUUGAAAUUUUUUGAAAUAUGGCAUUAAGAAAUAAAAUAUCUCAGGAGGUACUUGACUAUGACUACAGGUACAGUAAAAUGGUUUAACUCAGAAAAAGGUUUCGGAUUCAUCACUGUUGAAGGUGGAAACGAUGUAUUCGCUCACUUCUCAGCUAUCCAAGGUGAAGGAUUCAAAACUUUAGAAGAAGGUCAAAAAGUUUCUUUCGAAAUCGUUGAAGGUGACCGUGGACCUCAAGCAGCUAACAUCGUUAAAUUAUAAUUUUUAACUCAUUAGCUUAAAGGCUGUGAAUAGAGAAUCUAUUCACAGCCUUU